CGGGUGAGUAUGCAUAGGAUCUACCUAGUAGUAUGGGAUAGCCACUAGAAAUGGUGGGUAAUACUGUAUAAUCCCUGCGGGGGAAAGAUUUAUCGCUAUUAGAUGAGCCUAUGUUAGAUUAGCUAGUUGGUAGGGUAAAGGCCUACCAAGGCAGUGAUCUAUAGCUGGUCUGAGAGGAUGAUCAGCCACACUGGAACUGAGAUACGGUCCAGACUCCUACGGGAGGCAGCAGUGGGGAAUAUUGGACAAUGGGCGCAAGCCUGAUCCAGCUAUGCCGCAUGAGUGAGGAAGGCCUUAGGGUUGUAAAACUCUUUCAGUGGGGAAGAUAAUGACGGUACCCACAGAAGAAGUCCCGGCAAACUCCGUGCCAGCAGCCGCGGUAAUACGGAGGGGGCAAGCGUUGUUCGGAAUUAUUGGGCGUAAAGGGCAUGUAGGCGGUUCGGUAAGUUAAAGGUGAAAUGCCAGGGCUUAACCCUGGAGCUGCUUUUAAUACUGCCAGACUAGAGUCCGGGAGAGGAUA
rnacentral:rRNA from 1 species